rnacentral:rRNA from 1 species
AGUCGAGCGGCAGCGCGGGGCAACCUGGCGGCGAGCGGCGAACGGGUGAGUAAUGCAUCGGAACAUGUCCAUGUCGUGGGGGAUAGCCCGGCGAAAGCCGGAUUAAUACCGCAUACGCCCGAGAGGGGAAAGUGGGGGACCGCAAGGCCUCACGCGAUUGGGUUGGCCGAUGUCCGAUUAGCUAGUUGGCGGGGUAAGAGCCCACCAAGGCGAUGAUCGGUAGCUGGUCUGAGAGGAUGAUCAGCCACACUGGGACUGAGACACGGCCCAGACUCCUACGGGAGGCAGCAGUGGGGAAUUUUGGACAAUGGGGGCAACCCUGAUCCAGCCAUUCCGCGUGAGUGAAGAAGGCCUUCGGGUUGUAAAGCUCUUUUGUCCGGAACGAAACGGUUACGGCGAAUACCCGUGACUACUGACGGUACCGGAAGAAUAAGCACCGGCUAACUACGUGCCAGCAGCCGCGGUAAUACGUAGGGUGCGAGCGUUAAUCGGAAUUACUGGGCGUAAAGCGUGCGCAGGCGGUUUUGUAAGCCAGAUGUGAAAUCCCCGGGCUUAACCUGGGAAUGGCAUUUGGGACUGCAAGGCUUGAGUGCGGCAGAGGAGACUGGAAUUCCUGGUGUAGCAGUGAAAUGCGUAGAUAUCAGGAGGA